rnacentral:rRNA from 1 species
GACGAACGCUGGCGGCGUGCUUAACACAUGCAAGUCGAACGGAAAGGCCCUGCUUUUGUGGGGUGCUCGAGUGGCGAACGGGUGAGUAACACGUGAGUAACCUGCCCUUGACUUUGGGAUAACUUCAGGAAACUGGGGCUAAUACCGGAUAGGAGCUCCUGCUGCAUGGUGGGGGUUGGAAAGUUUCGGCGGUUGGGGAUGGACUCGCGGCUUAUCAGCUUGUUGGUGGGGUAGUGGCUUACCAAGGCUUUGACGGGUAGCCGGCCUGAGAGGGUGACCGGCCACAAUGGGACUGAGGUACGGCCCAGACUCCUACGGGAGGCAGCAGUGGGGAAUAUUGCACAAUGGGCGGAAGCCUGAUGCAGAGGCGCCGCGUGCGGGAUGACGGCCUUCGGGUUGUAAACCGCUUUCGCCUGUGACGAAGCGUGAGUGACGGUAAUGGGUAAAGAAGCACCGGCUAACUACGUG